UGAGUACGAGAUGCUACGGCAUCGAAGCAGUCUAUGUCAUACUUCCAAGAAAAGCUUGCACUGUCAUAAACAAAGAAUGCCUGUACCAUAACCGACACAGGUGGGUAGGUAGAGUAUACUAAGGGGCGCGAGAUAACUCUCUCUAAGGAACUCGGCAAAAUGACUCCGUAACUUCGGGAGAAGGAGUGCCUUAUUUCUAAGGUUGCAAUAACAAGAUCCAAGCAACUGUUUACCAAAAACACAGGUCUCCGCUAAGUCGUAAGACGAUGUAUGGGGGCUGACGCCUGCCCAGUGCCAGAAGGUUAAAGAAGUUGGUUAGCAUUAGCGAAGCUGAUAACUGAAGCCCUGGUGAACGGCGGCCGUAACUAUAACGGUCCUAAGGUAGCGAAAUUCCUUGUCGGGUAAGUUCCGACCCGCACGAAAGGCGUAAUGAUUUGGAUACUGUCUCGGAGAGGGGCUCGGUGAAAUAGACUUGUCUGUGAAGAUGCGGACUACCUGCACCUGGACAGAAAGACCCUAUGAAGCUUUACUGUAACUUGAGAUUGAAAUUGGACUUUAUUUGCGCAGUAUAGGUGGGAGGCGUUGAGAAUAAUCUUGCGGGAUUGUUGGAGCCAUCAGUGAGAUACCACUCUUGUAAUGUUAGAUUUCUAACUUUGUAUCAUUAUCUGGUCAAAGAACAGUUUCAGGCGGGCAGUUUGACUGGGGCGGUCGCCUCCCAAAGGGCAACGGAGGCGCACAAAGGUUUCCUCUGAACGGGUAGAAAUCGUAUCUAGAGUGUAAAGGCAUAAGGAAGCUUGACUGUGAGACCUACAAGUCGAGCAGGGACGAAAGUCGGUCUUAGUGAUCUGACGGUGCUGAGUGGAAAGGCCGUCACUCAACGGAUAAAAGUUACUCUAGGAUAACAGGCUGAUCUCCCCCAAGAGUUCACAUCGACGGGGAGGUUUGGCACCUCGAUGUCGGCUCAUCGCAUCCUGGGGCGGUAGUCCGUCCCAAGGGUUGGGCUGUUCGCCCAUGAAAGCGGUACGCGAGCUGGGCUCAGAACGUCGUGAGACAGUUCGGUCCAUAUCCGGUGUAGGCGUUAGAAUAUUGAGAGGAGCCUUCUCUAGUACGAGAGGACCGAGAAGGACAUACCUCUGGUGUACCAGUUAUCGUGCCAACGGUAAACGCUGGGUAGCUAUGUAUGGAGUGGAUAACCGCUGAAAGCAUCUAAGUGGGAAGCCCACCUCAAGAUAAGUAUUCUCA
rnacentral:rRNA from 1 species